GCUCUAACAUCAAACAGCAACUUUUACUCAAAUAACUUAUGUAUGGCAACUUUUAUGUCACACCACCAUUUAUUUUUAUUCUGAUGAUGAUCAGACAUAAUUAACUGUCUGUUCACUCAUGCUUGGUCACUUAUGUAAGUUCCUCUAAUCAGUUAGUGAACACUUCUCUAAACUAAAGCUGGUAGGAUUCCUCUGGUAGUGUUUUCUGUCUGUGACUUUACCACAACUGUUAAAUCUGAGAUCAACAUCUUUAAUAAAGGAAUAUACAACAUGGAUCACUAUCAGUACAGCUGCUGCUGUUGUCUUUCAUAUGGACAAUAUGGAGGAAUACUAGCAACACUGGAUCUAAUGCUGGACUGUACCUACAGACUAGGAGAACAUCUGAUACACAGAGGAAGGAAAAAAUACUAAUAUCUGGUUUUAAGAUACAAAUCUUAUUUGUAUUAUCUAGAAACAGCUUAUAUAAAGUGUUUGUUCUACCUGGAAGAUGUUAAAGUGUAUUUGUGUUGAUUAUGAUUCUGUAUGAGUGAUCUUCACUGUAACAGCUGCAGCAUCACAACACAGAGAGGUUUUUGUACGAGCAGUAACAGGGAUUGUAUCACUGUGGGACACUUUUGGUAGCGGCACCAGACUAGAUGUUGGAAGUAACAGUUCCCCCACCCUCACCGUCCUGCCCCCCUCUAGUGAGGAACUGUCCAGUACA